CUGGGGGCAUGCUAUACAUGCAAGUCGAGCGAACAGAUAAGGAGCUUGCUCCUUUGACGUUAGCGGCGGACGGGUGAGUAACACGUGGAUAACCUACCUAUAAGACUGGGAUAACUUCGGGAAACCGGAGCUAAUACCGGAUAAGAUUUUGAACCGCAUGGUUCAAUAGUGAAAGACGGCCUUGCUGUCACUUAUAGAUGGAUCCGCGCCGUAUUAGCUAGUUGGUAAGGUAACGGCUUACCAAGGCAACGAUACGUAGCCGACCUGAGAGGGUGAUCGGCCACACUGGAACUGAGACACGGUCCAGACUCCUACGGGAGGCAGCAGUAGGGAAUCUUCCGCAAUGGGCGAAAGCCUGACGGAGCAACGCCGCGUGAGUGAUGAAGGUCUUCGGAUCGUAAAACUCUGUUAUCAGGGAAGAACAAACGUGUAAGUAACUGUGCACGUCUUGACGGUACCUGAUCAGAAAGCCACGGCUAACUACGUGCCAGCAGCCGCGGUAAUACGUAGGUGGCAAGCGUUAUCCGGAAUUAUUGGGCGUAAAGCGCGCGUAGGCGGUUUUUUAAGUCUGAUGUGAAAGCCCACGGCUCAACCGUGGAGGGUCAUUGGAAACUGGAAAACUUGAGUGCAGAAGAAGAAAGUGGAAUUCCCUGUGUAACGGUGAAAUGCGCAGAGAUAUGGAGGAACACCAGUGGGGGAAAGCCACUUUCUGGGCCGGAACUGACUCUCAUAUGCGAAAGCGUGUGGGGUCAACAAGGAUUACAUACCCCUGGGGGUGCUCACCCCUAAACGAUGAAGUGUUCAAUGUUUAGGGGGGGUUCCCCCCCUUUUUUGCUGGCGGCCAAAAGAAGUUAUCCACUUCUUCCCGGGGG
rnacentral:rRNA from 1 species